GGGGAUGUAGCUCAGUUGGUAGAGUGCCUGCCUUGCAUGCACAAGGCCCUGGGUUUGAUCCCCAGCAACACAC
rnacentral:tRNA from 1 species